CCUACGGGAGGCAGCAGUGGGGAAUAUUGGUCAAUGGGCGCGAGCCUGAACCAGCCAAGUCGCGUGAGGGAAGACGGUCCUAUGGAUUGUAAACCUCUUUAGGCGGGAGCAAUGCCGGGCACGCGUGCCCGGAGGGAGAGUACCCGAAGAAUAAGCAUCGACUAACUCCGUGCCAGCAGCCGCGGUAAUACGGAGGAUGCGAGCGUUAUCCGGAUUUAUUGGGUUUAAAGGGUGCGUGGGCGGAUUUUUAAGUCAGCGGUAAAAUGUCCGGGCUCAACCUGGGCCGGCCGUUGAAACUGGGGGUCGUGAGUGGGCGAGAGGUAUGCGGAAUUCGUGGUGUAGCGGUGAAAUGCUUAGAUAUCACGAAGAACUCCGAUUGCGAAGGCAGCAUACCGGCGCGCGACUGACGCUGAGGCACGAAAGCGUGGGGAUCGAACAGGAUUAGAUACCCGGGUAGUC
rnacentral:rRNA from 1 species